AACAGGAUUAGAUACCCUGGUAGUCCACGCCGUAAACGAUGUCGACUUGGAGGUUGUUCCCUUGAGGAGUGGCUUCCGGAGCUAACGCGUUAAGUCGACCGCCUGGGGAGUACGGCCGCAAGGUUAAAACUCAAAUGAAUUGACGGGGGCCCGCACAAGCGGUGGAGCAUGUGGUUUAAUUCGAUGCAACGCGAAGAACCUUACCUACUCUUGACAUCCAGAGAAUUCGCUAGAGAUAGCUUAGUGCCUUCGGGAACUCCGAGACAGGUGCUGCAUGGCUGUCGUCAGCUCGUGUUGUGAAAUGUUGGGUUAAGUCCCGCAACGAGCGCAACCCUUAUCCUUUGUUGCCAGCGGUUCGGCCGGGAACUCAAAGGAGACUGCCAGUGAUAAACUGGAGGAAGGUGGGGAUGACGUCAAGUCAUCAUGGCCCUUACGAGUAGGGCUACACACGUGCUACAAUGGCGCACACAAAGAGAAGCGACCUCGCGAGAGCAAGCGGACCUCAUAAAGUGCGUCGUAGUCCGGAUCGGAGUCUGCAACUCGACUCCGUGAAGUCGGAAUCGCUAGUAAUCGUAGAUCAGAAUGCUACGGUGAAUACGUUCCCGGGCCUUGUACACACCGCCCGUCACACCAUGGGAGUGGGUUGCAAAAGAAGUAGGUAGCUUAACCUUCGGGAGGGCGCUUACCACUUUGUGAUUCAUGACUGGGGUGAAGUCGUAACAAGGUAACC
rnacentral:rRNA from 1 species